rnacentral:rRNA from 1 species
UCGCAAUCUUCUUUGUCGAUUAGAACUCUCAAAAAAAAUUACGCUGUUAUCCCUAAGGUAACUUUUUCUUUUAAUCUAAAUAAUAGGAUCAAAUAUUCAAAAAUCAUUGAUUCAAAUAAAAAAAAGUUUAUACAAUUUUUCUGUCACCCCAACCAAAUAAAUCUUACAGCUAUAAAAACAAUAUCCCAAUAUUUUAUAAAAGCAAUUUAUAAAGCUCUAUAGGGUCUUCUUGUCUUCUAUGUACAUUUAAGCUUUUUCACUUAAAAAUAAAAUUCUAACAAAUUACUCCUGAGACAGAUGCUUCCUCAUCGAUCCUUUCAUUCCAGCUUCUAAUUAAGAAACUAAUGAUUAUGCUACCUUUGCACAGUCAGUAUACCGCGGCCAUUUAAAUUUUUCAUAGGGCAGGACUGACCUUAAAUUAUAAUCAAAAAGCC